GCAUAUCAAUAAGCGGAGGAAAAGAAACCAACUGGGAUUGCCUUAGUAACGGCGAGUGAAGCGGCAAUAGCUCAAAUUUGAAAGCUGGCCCCUUUGGGGUCCGCGUUGUAAUUUGUAGAGGAUGAUUCGGCGAGGGCUCCCGUCUAAGUCCCCUGGAACGGGGCGUCAUAGAGGGUGAGAAUCCCGUAUGUGAUGGGUUGCCUUAGCCAUGUGAAUCUCCUUCGACGAGUCGAGUUGUUUGGGAAUGCAGCUCUAAAUGGGAGGUAAAUUUCUUCUAAAGCUAAAUACCGGCCAGAGACCGAUAGCGCACAAGUAGAGUGAUCGAAAGAUGAAAAGCACUUUGGAAAGAGAGUUAAAAAGUACGUGAAAUUGUUGAAAGGGAAGCGCUUGCAGCCAGACUUGUCCGCAGUUGCUCAGCCGGUCUCCUGACCGGCGUACUCUUCUGCGGCCAGGCCAGCAUCAGUUCGGGCGGUCGGAUAAAGACCCUAGGAAUGUAGCUCCUCUCGGGGAGUGUUAUAGCCUGGGGUGGAAUGCGGCCAGCCUGGACUGAGGAUCUCGCUUCGGCUAGGAUGCUGGCGUAAUGGCUGUAAGCGGCCCGUCUUGAAACACGGACCAAGGAGUCUAACAUCUAUGCGAGUGUUUGGGUGUCAAACCCAUACGCGUAAUGAAAGUGAACGGAGGUGGGAACCCUCACGGGUGCACCAUCGACCGAUCCUGAUGUCUUCGGAUGGAUUUGAGUAAGAGCAUAGCUGUUGGGACCCGAAAGAUGGUGAACUAUGCCUGAAUAGGGUGAAGCCAGAGGAAACUCUGGUGGAGGCUCGCAGCGGUUCUGACGUGCAAAUCGAUCGUCAAAUUUGGGUAUAGGGGCGAAAGACUAAUCGAACCAUCUAGUAGCUGGUUCCUGCCGAAGUUUCCC
rnacentral:rRNA from 1 species